rnacentral:rRNA from 1 species
UGCCAGCAGCCGCGGUAAUACGGAGGGGGCAAGCGUUGUUCGGAAUUACUGGGCGUAAAGCGCACGUAGGCGGACUGAUCAGUUGGGGGUGAAAUCCCGAGGCUUAACCUCGGAACUGCCUUCAAUACUGUCAGUCUUGAGAUCGGAAGAGGUGAGUGGAAUUCCUAGUGUAGAGGUGAAAUUCGUAGAUAUUAGGAAGAACACCAGUGGCGAAGGCGGCUCACUGGUCCGAUACUGACGCUGAGGUGCGAAAGCGUGGGGAGCGAACAGGAUUAGAUA